CAGCAGCCCGAGUGGUGAUCCUUUUUAUUGGGCCUAAAGCGUCCGUAGCCGGACUAGUAAAUCCUGGGGUAAAUCGUACCGCUUAACGGUACGAAUUCUGGGGAGACUGCUAGUCUUGGAACUGGGAGAGGUCGGAGGUACUCCGGGGGUAGGGGUGAAAUCCUGUAAUCCUUGGGGGACCACCAGUGGCGAAGGCGUCCGACUAGAACGGAUUCGACGGUGAGGGACGAAGCCGUGGGUCACAAACCGGAUUAGAGACCCGAGUAGUCC
rnacentral:rRNA from 1 species